UCGAGAAUCUUCCACAAUGGACGAAAGUCUGAUGGAGCGACGCCGCGUGAUUGAUGAAGUGGUUCGCCACGUAAAGGUCUUUUAUGAGGGAAGAAGUAUAUUGACGGUACCUCAUGAAUAAGGGGCUCCUAACUCUGUGCCAGCAGGAGCGGUAAUACAGAGGCCCCGAGCGUUAUCCGGAAUUAUUGGGCGUAAAGGGUGCGUAGGUGGCGCUGUUAGUCGUUUGUGAAAGCCCGGGGCUCAACCUCGGAAACGCGAACGAAACGGCAGUGCUUGAGUGCGUGAGAGGUGUACGGAACUCAUGGUGUAGGGGUGAAAUCCGUUGAUAUCAUGGGGAACACCAAAAGCGAAGGCAGUACACUGGCACGACACUGACAUUGAAGCACGAAAGCGUGGGUCG
rnacentral:rRNA from 1 species